rnacentral:tRNA from 1 species
AAGAGAUCUAUGCCAAGGAGAAAGCUUCUAACUUAAUUCCUUAGCGGUUAAAUUCCGUUAACUUCUCUUU